CACGGCUACAAAAACAAGUGAGUGAGAAGAGGUGGGAGGAAGAGAAACUACGCCACCUCCCCUGCAGCCGAGUGCACGCAGCAGCCUGGCGUGACAAGUGGGCGACGCCGGGGGGCAGGGAGCCGGGGUCCUUGGCCCUGGCCGGGGACCCCACCGCCCACCGCGCGGAGGACAACUUUUAGCCGGCAGCCCAGACCAGCGCGGCACCUGUCUCCGGAGUCUCCACCGCUCCUCCCGAUUCAUCCCAGGGAAAUUCUCAAGAAUACGCUCUACAAAUCUACGUGCGCAUCAUUUUCACCUCGCGUCGCGCCCGGGAGGAAGGAACGAGGCAAGGAGCUAAAGCAGCGUGCGUUCAGCCCUGGGGCAUUUUAUUAAUGCUUUUACGAGUUAGAAGAGUUGGGAUAAUUUGCCAUCUGGAGUUUCUCUGCCUUGCUGAUCUGAGCUCAGACCUGCCAAUUUACCAGAGAUAAUUGAUAACACCCUGUAACAGCUGAGAGGAAAAUGGAAGAAACGGAGAUACUUUUAGUGAAGCAGAAUAAACCACUGAACAGGUAACUGAGAUUAGUAGUUCUAUAUACAUUUAUUAAAUAAGUUAAUAUUUGUAAAGGCCUAGAAUAGUACAUAGCACAUAGUAAAUAGUAUGUAGGUGUUUGCUGUUAUAAAGUUCUUUUAAAUAUACGUAAGCCCC
rnacentral:lncRNA from 1 species